rnacentral:rRNA from 1 species
AUUGAACGCUGGCGGCAGGCCUAACACAUGCAAGUCGAGCGGGGUUUUCGGACCUAGCGGCGGACGGGUGAGUAAUGCGUAGGAAGCUACCCGAUAGAGGGGGAUACCAGUUGGAAACGACUGUUAAUACCGCAUAAUGUCUACGGACCAAAGUGUGGGACCUUCGGGCCACAUGCUAUCGGAUGCGCCUACGUGGGAUUAGCUAGUUGGUGAGGUAAUGGCUCACCAAGGCGACGAUCCCUAGCUGGUUUGAGAGGAUGAUCAGCCACACUGGAACUGCGACACGGUCCAGACUCCUACGGGAGGCAGCAGUGGGGAAUAUUGGACAAUGGGCGCAAGCCUGAUCCGGCCAUGCCGCGUGUGUGAAGAAGGCCUUCGGGUUGUAAAGCACUUUCAGUAGGGAGGAAGCGUUGUGUGUUAAUAGUACACAGCGUUGACGUUACCUACAGAAGAAGCACCGGCUAACUCUGUGCCAGCAGCCGCGGUAAGAC